rnacentral:piRNA from 1 species
UGCAUUUGCAAUUAGUACCCAUCAGGUGA